AAGUCGUAACAAGGUUUCCGUAGGUGAACCUGCGGAAGGAUCACUAAAGAAUUCGCCCUUCGGGGCUCUCUUUAUUCACACACCCCUGUGCACUUUGGCCACCUCUUUGUUGAGGUGUGUCUUUUUAAAUUACCAUACCCUAUAAACACAAGUUAUUGAAUGUAAAAUCGUUAUAAACUAAUAUAACUUUCAACAACGGAUCUCUUGGUUCUC
rnacentral:misc_RNA from 1 species